UACUCUGGUGGCCUAGUGGUUAGAGCAUCUGCCUCAGAAGCGUGAGGUCAUGGGUUCGAUUCCUGGUUGAGUCA